GACGAACGCUGGCGGCGUGCUUAACACAUGCAAGUCGAACGAGAAUCUGUGGAAAGAGGAUUCGUCCAAUUGAAGCAGAGGACAGUGGCGGACGGGUGAGUAACGCGUGAGGAACCUGCCUUUCAGAGGGGGACAACAGUUGGAAACGACUGCUAAUACCGCAUGACACAUAGGUGUCGCAUGGCACUUAUGUCAAAGAUUUAUCGCUGAAAGAUGGCCUCGCGUCUGAUUAGCUAGUUGGUAAGGUAACGGCCCACCAAGGCGACGAUCAGUAGCCGGACUGAGAGGUUGAACGGCCACAUUGGGACUGAGAUACGGCCCAGGCGCCUACGGGAGGCAGGAGUGGGGAAUAUUGGGCAAUGGGCGCAAGCCUGACCCAGCAACGCCGCGUGAAGGAAGAAGGCUUUCGGGUUGUAAACUUCUUUUGUCAGGGACGAGUGGAAGACGGUACCUGACGAAUAAGCCACGGCUAACUACGUGCCAGCCGCCGCAGUAA
rnacentral:rRNA from 1 species